UACGUAGGGUGCGAGCGUUAAUCGGAAUGACUGGGCGUAAAGCGUGCGCAGGCGGUUUGCUAAGACCGAUGUGAAAUCCCCGGGCUCAACCUGGGAACUGCAUUGGUGACUGGCAGGCUAGAGUAUGGCAGAGGGAGGUAGAAUUCCACGUGUAGUAGUGAAAUGCGUAGAGAUGUGGAGGAAUACCGAUGGCGAAGGCAGCCUCCUGGGCCAAUACUGACGCUCAUGCACGAAAGCGUGGGGAGCAAACAGG
rnacentral:rRNA from 1 species